CAGCAGCCGCGGUAAUACGAAGGGUGCAAGCGUUAAUCGGAAUUACUGGGCGUAAAGCGUGCGCAGGCGGUUUGUUAAGACAGAUGUGAAAUCCCCGGGCUCAACCUGGGAACUGCAUUUGUGACUGGCAAGCUAGAGUGUGGCAGAGGGGGGUGGAAUUCCGCGUGUAGCAGUGAAAUGCGUAGAUAUGCGGAGGAACACCGAUGGCGAAGGCAGCCCCCUGGGCCAACACUGACGCUCAUGCACGAAAGCGUGGGGAGCAAACAGGAUUAGAUACCCCCGUAGUCCCUGUCUCUUAUAC
rnacentral:rRNA from 1 species